UAGAGAAGAGGUCAUUUCACAAUCACAAAAAACUGCUUUCUGAUUUCUUGAAGAAGCCUGCGGAUAUACAUCGGAAGCUCUAAAUAGGGAAGCAUUUGUGUCGAAAUUGGAGCAUCAAAUCUGGGAUAUUGUGAUGCUCUGCUACCUUCACUUAUAGUUUGUACACAAAGACUAUAGGCCCCUAGAUUUCUCUGUCAUGCUCUUCUUCUUCGCUUGAGGACUAGCAACUGCAGUACUGGCUUAGAGCCUAGACCGAGAGAGAGUAGGAGGAUAUGGUUGUUGAAUUUGAUUGCUCCAAUUUUUCUUAGUUCUUGAUUAUUUCUGAGAACCAGACUCUGGACCAGGUUGAAAAGUCUGCCCCUUGGCAACGUAUCUCCACAAUCCCUAUUGGAAAUGGGGAAAGAAGGUUGAAGAUGCCGCUAAGAAGGUUGAGGAUCUUGCUGAAAACACUGGAAAGCAUUGAUUGAUUAUCGCCAGUUCAUUAGGAGCAGAAGAAUCAGAAUUUCUAUGAUUCCAGUCUACAACAAAGUCCGGAGCUUGAAAUCUUACGAGCAUGGAGGCAUUAUGGAACCAUAGCUUGAAAUCUUACAAGCAUGGAGGAAUAAUGGAACAAUAGCCAGUGCGUUUGAAGAUGUAUUUAAGAAGUAGUGUGAGAUUGUAUUAUUUUCCAUUUGGAUUAAGGGGCUGUAAACUUCAUAAUCGUGGCUUUAGAACAUUGGAUACUUGUUUGGCCAUGUACUAGAGGUGGUUUCUAAAUUUACUAAAAACUAUGUGUUGAGAACUAAUUAUGGUACUUAUGUCUCCCUUGUGAGAUUAUGCAUAUUACUUGGAAUUUGUCUUUUUCGUAACAAUGUGACAGAAGUGGGAGUUAUGGGUACAUGUAAUUGAAUA